rnacentral:rRNA from 1 species
CUAGUUCUAACCGUAAACGAUGACAACCAGCGAUUAGUCGGCGUUAAUAUAUGACCCGACUAGCAGCUUCCGGGAAACCAAAGUUUUUCGUUUCCGGGGGAAGUAUGGUUGCAAAGCUGAAACUUAAAGGAAUUGACGGAAGGGCACCACCAGGAGUGGAGCCUGCGGCUUAAUUUGACUCAACACGGGAAAACUCACCCGGCCCGGACACCGUAAGGAUUGACAGACUGAGAGCUCUUUCUUAAUUCGGUGGGUGGUGGUGCAUGGCCGUUCUUAGUUGGUGGAGCGAUUU